rnacentral:misc_RNA from 1 species
AAGGAUCAUUACCUUUCAAUGCAGCAGAAUCGGGAUGGUUGAGUAUCUCGCCUCUCAGUUCUGCCUGUAUUCUACCCUUGUUUCUCUUACACUAUUAUUUCCUCGGCAGGCUUGCCUGCCGAGUGAAACCACUUAUAACCUAUUUAAUUUUCAAUCAGCGUCUGAAAACUAUAAUAAUUACAACUUUCAACAACGGAUCUCUUGGUUCUG